GACGAACGCUGGCGGCGUGCUUAACACAUGCAAGUCGAACGGAAAGGCCCUGCUUUUGUGGGGUGCUCGAGUGGCGAACGGGUGAGUAACACGUGAGUAACCUGCCCUUGACUUUGGGAUAACUUCAGGAAACUGGGGCUAAUACCGGAUAGGAGCUCCUGCUGCAGGGAGGGGGUUGGAAAGUUUCGGCGGGUGGGGAUGGACUCGCGGCUUAUCAGCUUGUUGGUGGGGUAGUGGCUUACCAAGGCUUUGACGGGUAGCCGGCCUGAGAGGGUGACCGGCCACAUUGGGACUGAGAUACGGCCCAGACGCCUACGGGAGGCAGCAGUGGAGAACAUUGCACAAUGGGCGGACGCCUGAUGCAGCAACGCUGCGUGCGGGAUGACGUCCUUCGGGUUGUAAACCGCUUUCGCCUGUGACGAAGCGUGAGUGACGGUAAUGGGUAAAGAAGCACCGGCUAACUACGUG
rnacentral:rRNA from 1 species